rnacentral:rRNA from 1 species
CCUACGGGUGGCAGCAGUGAGGAAUAUUGGUCAAUGGACGAGAGUCUGAACCAGCCAAGUAGCGUGAAGGAUGACUGCCCUAUGGGUUGUAAACUUCUUUUAUAUGGGAAUAAAAUGUUCCACGUGUGGGAUUUUGUAUGUACCAUAUGAAUAAGGAUCGGCUAACUCCGUGCCAGCAGCCGCGGUAAUACGGAGGAUCCGAGCGUUAUCCGGAUUUAUUGGGUUUAAAGGGAGCGUAGGUGGAUUGUUAAGUCAGUUGUGAAAGUUUGCGGCUCAACCGUAAAAUUGUAGUUGAAACUGGCAGUCUUGAGUACAGUAGAGGUGGGCGGAAUUCGUGGUGUAGCGGUGAAAUGCUUAGAUAUCACGAAGAACUCCGAUUGCGAAGGCAGUUCACUGGACUGCAACUGACACUGAGGCUCGAAAGUGUGGGUAUCAAACAGGAUUAGAUACCCCAGUAGAC